UUCAGGGGUAAACCUGAGAAACCCGAAAGGUCGAAAGGGGAAAUUCAUUCGCGUUUCGGCCGUCGGAGCGGAACGGUCGAGUGACGGACGGCGUACGCGUCGUCCGCGCCUUUCGUUUCGCGUUCCGGCGUCGAACGCGUGCACUUUUCCUCUAGUAGGACGUCGCGAUCCGUUGGGUGUCGGUUUAAGGCUGGCGCGGUGGAGCCCGAGCGUACGUUUUGCGACGUUCGCGCUCGGACCCGCGGUGUCCCGACCGACUCGCUCGACGGUAUACAGAUGGCGCGAGGCCGCUACUACUUUUCUAGUAGAGUUAGCGUUCGGCCCGCGGCAAGCGCGUUCGGUGUUGAAGACGGCGAUCGGACCUGGUGCCGAUCCCGUCCCCGGACGACUGUUGGCCGCGGUGUUCUCGAACCGACCUCGUUAUGUGAAACGCCGAUCUGCGACGCUAUAGCUUUGGGUACUUUCAGGACCCACGGACCAAGGAGUCUAGCAUGUGCGCGAGUCAUUGGGACAUAACUAAACCUAAAGGCGUAAUGAAAGUGAAGGUCCGCCUUGCGCGGACCGAGGGAGGAUGAGUGGUUUUGGUGGUUUUCGCCGCCGCCGCUCCGCACUCCCGGGGCGUCUCGUUCUCAUCGCGAGAAGAGGCGCACCAAGAGC
rnacentral:rRNA from 1 species